UGAGGAAUAUUGGACAAUGGGCGGGAGCCUGAUCCAGCCAUGCCGCGUGCAGGAAGACUGCCCUAUGGGUUGUAAACUGCUUUUGUACAGGAAGAAACACUCCCUCGUGAGGGAGCUUGACGGUACUGUAAGAAUAAGGAUCGGCUAACUCCGUGCCAGCAGCCGCGGUAAUACGGAGGAUCCAAGCGUUAUCCGGAAUCAUUGGGUUUAAAGGGUCCGUAGGUGGAUGAUUAAGUCAGAGGUGAAAUCCUGCAGCUCAACUGUAGAAUUGCCUUUGAUACUGGUUGUCUUGAAUUAUUGUGAAGUAGUUAGAAUAUGUGGUGUAGCGGUGAAAUGCAUAGAUAUCACAUAGAAUACCGAUUGCGAAGGCAGAUACUAACAAUACAUUGACACUGGUGGACGAAAGCGUGGGGAGCGAACA
rnacentral:rRNA from 1 species